rnacentral:rRNA from 1 species
UCGUGAGUCUUAGGGACUCGGCAUACUGCUCAGUAACACGUGGAUAACCUGCCCUAUCGUCUGGAAUAACCUCGGGAAACUGAGAAUAAGGCCGGAUAGUUCACAAUGCCUGGAACGGUUUGUGAAUCAAGGUAGGAUGGGUCUGCGGCGUAUCAGGUUGUAGGGGGUGUAAAGGACCCCCUAGCCUUCGACGCGUACGGGUGUUGGGAGACAUAGCCCGGANAUGGAUUCUGAGACACGANUCCAGACCC